rfam:Perkinsus marinus ATCC 50983 gcontig_1104296776512, whole genome shotgun sequence.
GCAUCAUUGGUCUAGUGGUAGAAUACAACGUUGCCAUCGUUGUGAUCCGAGUUCGAUUCUCGGAUGAUGCA